CAACUGUAAUUGUUUUUUCACUUAUACUGUACUAUUUUCUGUUCUCCACAAAGAAAAACUGGAAAAAUGACCAGAUAAUUCAUUUGUCCUCGCUAAUACUGUUCACACACAAGGUGGGGGACAGGUGGUGAGAAGGAUCUGCAUAUAGCUGGGAAGGCCAUAACUGAGAUGAUCAGAAAUCUCCAUGGAGGUAAUUUAUAAAAGAUCACAAUGGAUUGACUCAAAAUGCACAAACACAGUUAAUGGUAAUGAUCCUACAUUUACAAAAUACUGCAUCUGACAUUAGUCAGACACUCCUGUCUGUCUGUCAAGGUAUUAUUUUCAGUAGUUCUGUAGGUGGGAUGGACCAGUUUGAAAAUUCUCGAAGCUCUGCAAGACUUCACUGCAUCCAGGACAAACAGCAAUGGAAAGUUGGGCUGGAAGAAUGCAGUGAUGUGAACUGGAUAUCAGUUGUAUGGGUGAUGACAAUGUCAAGGUCAGUCUCUCUGUCUAUCAAGAUCCUCUGAGUCAAUUGGAGAACCCAGUCACUGGUGGAGCAGCAGUAUCCAAAUCAGGACAUUUUUUCGGCACUGAUCCAGAAGUGAGAAAGCCCUGCACAAAUCAUUAUAUUCUCCUAAAAUCCUGCAGCAAGUUGAGUAUAUAAAAGAUCACAGGUGUCUAAACACAGAUUUUUGCAUAUAAUGAACUGGCAGGGCUAUCUUCCAUAUAUCUGGAAGGCAGUAUCUGCUUGGAAGCAGGAUAUUCUUAGGGCCUGAUUUCCCAAUAACCGAUGCAUGGAAAAUGUGAGUCUAUUGAGCAUCUAACUUUUGUGUGACUUAGAAUGUUUAUUUGUGUGUGCAGGUACCUUACUUUGCACCUGAUAGCAUUCUAAGACUGUGUAUAAGUUAGGAUCAAAGUUAUGCAUCUGUACGUAAGCCUUUAACAUGGUUACUAUUCAUUGCUAUGAUGAAAAUGUUUCGGCUAACAUGAAGUUUUUUGCCUCAGAUUUCCUUGUUAUUGUUUUGGAUAUUUUAAACCUCAUUAUUAAAUCUUAAAGGCCCAAUAACUGAGCUGAGUAAAAUAGCACAGGUCUCUGACUUCAGUAGAGCGAGCCUGAUUUACACCAGCUGAGAAUCUGAUUGUCGCUUUUGAGCUAUCGUAAUUGCUUAAGUGAAACAGCCAAAGUAAUUGGUGCAAACUAAUACAACUGAUGGAAAACGAUUCAGUGUUUGUCAAUACCAAGUAUGCUAUGGAGAACCUAAUCAAUGAAUUAGUCUAUCAAUUAAUUAGUCUAGGCAGAAAAUGACUCCCUGUACUGUUAGUCCAUGAAAAGAUCAAUAAAGUCAAAUGUCUAGUUUAAUGUUUCUCACGUAAUGAUUGUAUUAUGAGAAGAAGAAUAAGAACAAUGUUUAUAAUGUUUCAGUUACAAUUUUCAGGUUUUCAAUUAACAAAAAGAUACCCAGAUAGUCCUGUUAGAAAGAUAAGCACAAAUUUCAGGAUUUUAAUGCUGUAAAAUCAUUCGUCCUCCUGUCUGUUUAAGCUGCAUCUUCAAGGGACUGAUAUUCCUACAAGGAAAUGAUAGCGUGGUAUAAGGAUUAAUGUACGCUGAACCACCAUUUUGUCAGUUUUCUACGUGGGAAAUUGUGGCAAGAACAUCUGGCUUUUAGGCCAAAUCCUUCAUUUUGGCAGGGGCUAGACUGAGCCACCUCUCUGGGAUGACUUUGGCAGUUCACAGCUGUUGUUGUGUCAACAUCAGAAACACACUGGGUGGAAAACUGAGAACUCAACCUUUUUCUGUUUCAAUUGGCUGUAGUCUUAUUAUUUCUGCUAACUGUGGCCUGGUCACCCACACUUUGAAUUUUGCAUAUUUAUGAUUGACUUUACAGCAAAAAUAAGCAAAUACAUCUUCUGUUACAAUCUGGUAAAGUCCCUAAUUAUGAAGCCUUUAAAGUCUGGCUGUUUACCAUGUAGUAUGAAAGAGAAGCAGCCAUUCUUGCUUUCAUGCACACA